CCGUACUAUUCAUUCGUGCGAAACUCACAUUAACAAUAUACAAUUUCUUUUGAAGAAAUAUUUAAUUAAUGCAAUUUUGUUCGAGUCUUCGAUACUGAGAAUUUCUUUUGUAUAUCCAUAUAUUAUUUAUUUUUUCCAUUUUUUGUGUUCACUCUUUUAUUAUGAGGGGAAGGGUCAUUGGUAAUUUAAAUUUUUACGAUUUG
rnacentral:lncRNA from 1 species